CAGUGCAGUCACCCAUAAAGUAGAAAGCACUACUAACAGCACUGGAGGGUGUAGUGUUUCCUACUUUAUGGAUGAGUGUACUGU
ncrna:Artibeus jamaicensis (Jamaican fruit-eating bat) microRNA aja-mir-142 precursor